GACGAACCGUGCGAACGUUAUUCGGAAUCACUGGGCUUAAAGCGCGUGUAGGCGGGAAGGCACGUCGGUCGCUGAAAUCCCCCGGCUCAACCGGGGAAGUGGCGCCGAUACGACCUUCCUGGAGGGACGUAGGGGGACCUGGAACUUCCGGUGGAGCGGUGAAAUGCGUUGAGAUCGGAAAGAACACCAACGGCGAAAGCACUCUGCUGGGCCGACACUGACACUGAGAGACGAAAGCUAGGGGAGCGAAUGGG
rnacentral:rRNA from 1 species